rnacentral:rRNA from 1 species
UACGUAGGGGGCAAGCGUUGUCCGGAUUUAUUGGGCGUAAAGAGCGUGUAGGCGGCCUGAAAGGUCAGCUGUGAAACUCGAGGCUCAACCUCGAGACGUCGGUUGAAACCAUCUGGCUAGAGUCCGGAAGAGGAGAGUGGAAUUCCCGGUGUAGCGGUGAAAUGCGCAGAUAUCGGGAAGAACACCCGUGGCGAAGGCGGCUCUCUGGGACGGUACUGACGCUGAGACGCGAAAGCGUGGGGAGCGAACAGG